CCUACGGGUGGCAGCAGUGGGGAAUAUUGCACAAUGGGCGAAAGCCUGAUGCAGCAACGCCGCGUGAAGGAAGACGGUUUUCGGAUUGUAAACUUCUGUUCUUAGUGAAGAAUAAUGACGGUAACUAAGGAGCAAGCCACGGCUAACUACGUGCCAGCAGCCGCGGUAAUACGGAGGAUGCGAGCGUUAUCCGGAUUCAUUGGGUUUAAAGGGUGCGCAGGCGGGCCUUUAAGCCGGCGGUGAAAUCGCGGGGCUCAACCCCGCCGAGCCGUCGGAACUGGGGGCCUUGAGUGCGGCGGAGGCAUGCGGAAUGCGCGGUGUAGCGGUGAAAUGCAUAGAUAUCGCGCAGAACCCCGAUUGCGAAGGCAGCGUGCCGUGCCGCCACUGACGCUGAGGCACGAAAGCGCGGGGAUCGAACAGGAUUAGAUACCCUUGUAGUC
rnacentral:rRNA from 1 species